rnacentral:rRNA from 1 species
GAUGAACGCUGGCGGCGUGCUUAACACAUGCAAGUCGAACGGUGAAGGCGGAGCUUGCUCUGCUGGAUCAGUGGCGAACGGGUGAGUAACACGUGAGCAAUCUGCCCCUGACUCUGGGAUAAGCGCUGGAAACGGCGUCUAAUACUGGAUACGAGCUGCGAAGGCAUCUUCAGCAGCUGGAAAGAAUUUCGGUCAGGGAUGAGCUCGCGGCCUAUCAGCUUGUUGGUGAGGUAAUGGCUCACCAAGGCGUCGACGGGUAGCCGGCCUGAGAGGGUGACCGGCCACACUGGGACUGCGACACGGCCCAGACUCCUACGGGAGGCAGAAGUGGGGAAUAUUGCACAAUGGGCGAAAGCCUGAUGCAGCAACGCCGCGUGAGGGACGACCUCCUUCGGGUUGUAAACCUCUUUUAGCAGGGAAGAAGCGAAAGUGACGGUACCUGCAGAAAAAGCGCCGGCUAACUACGUG